GAUGAACGCUGGCGGCGUGCCUAAUACAUGCAAGUCGAGCGAACAGACGAGGAGCCUGCUCCUCUGACGUUAGCGGCGGACGGGUGAGUAACACGUGGAUAACCUACCUAUAAGACUGGGAUAACUUCGGGAAGCCGGAGCUAAUACCGGAUAAUAUAUUGAACCGCAUGGUUCAAUAGUGAAAGACGGUUUUGCUGUCACUUAUAGAUGGAUCCGCGCCGCAUUAGCUAGUUGGUAAGGUAACGGCUUACCCAGGCAACGAUGCGUAGCCGACCUGAGAGGGUGAUCGGCCACACUGGAACUGAGACACGGUCCAGACUCCUACGGGAGGCAGCAGUAGGGAAUCUUCCGCAAUGGGCGAAAGCUUGACGGAGCAACGCCGCGUGAGUGAUGAAGGUCUUCGGAUCGUAAAACUCUGUUAUUAGGGAAGAACAAAUGUGUAAGUAACUAUGCACGUCUUGACGGUACCUAAUCAGAAAGCCACGGCUAACUACGUG
rnacentral:rRNA from 1 species